rnacentral:hammerhead_ribozyme from 1 species
GAGCGAAACCUCAGCGUAAUGUUGAGGUCUGCCGGGUGUGGUUGCCCGGUACUGAUGAGCAGCCAAAU